CAGCUAGUUGGUGGGGUAAUGGCUCACCAAGGCAACGAUCAGUAUCCGGCCUGAGAGGGCGGACGGACACACUGGGACUGAGACACGGCCCAGACUCCUACGGGAGGCAGCAGUGGGGAAUUGUUCGCAAUGGGCGCAAGCCUGACGACGCAACGCCGCGUGGAGGAUGAAGACCUUCGGGUCGUAAACUCCUUUCGAUCGAGACGAAUGGCCUUCGGGUGAAUAGUCCGGAGGAGUGACGGUACCGAGAGAAGAAGCCCCGGCUAACUCCGUGCCAGCAGCCGCGGUAAUACGGGGGGGGCAAGCGUUGUUCGGAAUUACUGGGCGUAAAGGGCUCGUAGGUGGCCAACUAAGUCAGACGUGAAAUCCCUCGGCUUAACCGGGGAACUGCGUCUGAUACUGGAUGGCUUGAGUUUGGGAGAGGGAUGCGGAAUUCCAGGUGUAGCGGUGAAAUGCGUAGAUAUCUGGAGGAACACCGGUGGCGAAGGCGGCAUCCUGGACCAACACUGACGCUGAGGAGCGAAAGCCAGGGGAGCAAACGGGAUU
rnacentral:rRNA from 1 species